AGGGCUAUAGCUCAGUUGGUAGAGCACCUCGUUUACACGUACGGUUCGAGUCCGUAUAGCCCUA
rnacentral:tRNA from 2 species